rnacentral:rRNA from 1 species
UACGUAGGUGACAAGCGUUGUCCGGAUUUACUGGGCGUAAAGGGCGCGUAGGCGGCCAGUGCAAGUCAGUUGUGAAAUCUCCGAGCUUAACUCGGAAAGGUCAACUGAUACUGCUCGGCUAGAGUGCGGAAGGGGCAACUGGAAUUCUUGGUGUAGCGGUGAAAUGCGUAGAUAUCAAGAGGAACACCUGCGGCGAAGGCGGGUUGCUGGGCUGACACUGACGCUGAGGCGCGAAAGCAUGGGGAGCAAACAGG